rnacentral:rRNA from 1 species
CAGUAGCCACGGGAAUACGGAGGGUGCAAGCGUUAAUCGGAAUUACUGGGCGUAAAGCGCACGCAGGCGGUCUGACAAGUCAGAUGUGAAAUCCCCGGGCUUAACCUGGGAACUGCAUUUGAAACUGGCAGGCUAGAGUCUUGUAGAGGGGGGUAGAAUUCCAGGUGUAGCGGUGAAAUGCGUAGAGAUCUGGAGGAAUACCGGUGGCGAAGGCGGCCCCCUGGACAAAGACUGACGCUCAGGUGCGAAAGCGUGGGGAGCAAACAGGAUUAGAUACCCGAGUAGUCCCUGUCUCUUAUAC